ensembl:piRNA 21ur-2371 ncRNA
UGGUCGAAUCGAAGUUAAUUA